rnacentral:tRNA from 1 species
GCGGCAGUGGCUCACUGAUAGAGCCCCGAUCCGUACGCCGGGAGACCUGGGUUCGAUUCCCGGCUGCUUCC